ACUUAAAUAGCUUAUAUAGAGCAUAAUAUUGAAGAUAUUAAGGAAAUAAUUAUAUUUUUAAGUA
rnacentral:tRNA from 1 species